ACCUAUAAGACUGGGAUAACUUCGGGAAACCGGAGCUAAUACCGGAUAAUAUAUUGAACCGCAUGGUUCAAUAGUGAAAGACGGUUUUGCUGUCACUUAUAGAUGGAUCCGCGCCGCAUUAGCUAGUUGGUAAGGUAACGGCUUACCAAGGCAACAUGCGUAGCCGACCUGAGAGGGUGAUCGGCCACACUGGA
rnacentral:rRNA from 1 species